rnacentral:misc_RNA from 1 species
GAUGAAGAACGCAGUGAAAUGCGAUAAGUAAUGUGAAUUGCAGAAUUCAGUGAAUCAUCGAAUCUUUGAACGCACAUUGCGCCCGCCAGUAUUCGGGCGGGCAUGCCUGUUCGAGCGUCAUUUCAACCAUCAAGCCCCCGGCUUGUGUUGGGGACCUGCGGCUGCCGCAGGCCCUGAAAACCAGUGGCGGGCUCGCUAGUCACUCCGAGCGUAGUAAUACAUCUCGCUCAGGGCGUGCUGCGGGUUCCGGCCGUUAAAAAGCCUUAUUUACCCAAGGUUGACCUCGGAUCAGGUAGGAAGACCCGCUGAACUUAAGCAUAUCAAUAAGCGGAGGA